rnacentral:rRNA from 1 species
CAAUAGCGUAUAUUAAAGUUGUUGCGGUUAAAAAGCUCGUAGUUGGAUUUCUGUUGGGAACGACCGGUCCGCCCAUUGGGUGUGUAUCUGGCUUGUUCUCGGCAUCUUCUUGGUGAACGUUGCUGCACUUGACUGUGUGGAGCGCUACCCAGGACUUUUACUUUGAGGAAAUUAGAGUGUUUCAAGCAGGCAUAUGCCUUGAAUACAUUAGCAUGGAAUAAUAAGAUAGGACCUCGGUUCUAUUUUGUUGGUUUCUAGAGCUGAGGUAAUGAUUAAUAGGGAUAGUUGGGGGCAUUCGUAUUUAACUGUCAGAGGUGAAAUUCUUGGAUUUGUUAAAGACGGACUACUGCGAGAGCAUUUGCCAAGGAUGUUUUCAUUGA